rnacentral:rRNA from 1 species
GUGGGGAAUUUUGGACAAUGGGCGCAAGCCUGAUCCAGCAAUGCCGCGUGCAGGAAGAAGGCCUUCGGGUCGUAAACUGCUUUUGUACGGAACGAAACGGUCCGGGUUAAUACCCUGGGCUAAUGACGGUACCGUAAGAAUAAGCACCGGCUAACUACGUGCCAGCAGCCGCGGUAAUACGUAGGGUGCAAGCGUUAAUCGGAAUUACUGGGCGUAAAGCGUGCGCAGGCGGUUUUGUAAGACAGGCGUGAAAUCCCCGGGCUCAACCUGGGAAUUGCGCUUGUGACUGCAAGGCUGGAGUGCGGCAGAGGGGGAUGGAAUUCCGCGUGUAGCAGUGAAAUGCGUAGAUAUGCGGAGGAACACCGAUGGCGAAGGCAAUCCCCUGGGCCUGCACUGACGCUCAUGCACGAAAGCGUGGGGAGCAAACAGGAUUAGAUACCCCAGUAGUCC